GUAGGGUGGGCAAGCGUUGUCCGGAAUUAUUGGGCGUAAAGCGCGCGCAGGCGGUCCUUUAAGUCUGAUGUGAAAGCCCACGGCUCAACCGUGGAGGGUCAUUGGAAACUGGGGGACUUGAGUACAGAAGAGGAAAGCGGAAUUCCAAGUGUAGCGGUGAAAUGCGUAGAGAUUUGGAGGAACACCAGGGGCGAAGGCGGCUUUCUGGUCUGUAACUGACGCUGAGGCGCGAAAGCGUGGGGAGCAAACAGGAUUAGAUACCCUGGUAGUCCACGCCGUAAACGAUGAGUGCUAAGUGUUAGGGGGUUUCCGCCCCUUAGUGCUGCAGCUAACGCAUUAAGCACUCCGCCUGGGGAGUACGGCCGCACGGCUG
rnacentral:rRNA from 1 species